rnacentral:tRNA from 2 species
GGAGAGGUGGCUGAGUGGUUUAAAGCACCGGUCUUGAAAACCGACGAGGGUGAAAGCCCUCCGUGGGUUCGAAUCCCACCCUCUCCACCA